CUAGCCGUAAACGAUGGGCACUUGGUGUUGGGGGUAUUGAGUCCCUCGGUGCCGGAGUUAACACGAUAAGUGCCCCGCCUGGGGAGUACGGUCGCAAGACUGAAACUCAAAGGAAUUGACGGGGGCCCGCACAAGCGGUGGAGCAUGUGGUUCAAUUCGACGCAACGCGAAGAACCUUACCGGGGCUUGAACUGUAACUGCUACCUGAUGAAAGUUGGGAUUCUCUUCGGAGACGGUUAUAGAGGUGCUGCAUGGCUGUCGUCAGCUCGUGUCGUGAGAUGUUGGGUUAAGUCCCGCAACGAGCGCAACCCUUACUCUUAGUUGCCAUCAGGUCAAGCUGGGCACCCUAAGAGAACUGUCGGCGAAAAGCCG
rnacentral:rRNA from 1 species